UUGCCUCAGUAACGGCGAGUGAAGCGGCAACAGCUCAAAUUUGAAAUCUGGCUCCCCGGGGGGUCCGAGUUGUAAUUUGCAGAGGAUGCUUCGGGCAAGACUGCGGUCUAAUUCGCCUGGAACGGCGGGUCAGAGAGGGUGAGAGUCCCGUCUGGGAUCGUCCGUCGCGCCCGUGUGAAGCUCCUUCGACGAGUCGAGUUGUUUG
rnacentral:rRNA from 1 species